rnacentral:tRNA from 1 species
UAGAUAUAGUUUUAAUUAAAACAUUAGAUUGUGGUUCUAAAAAUGGAGGUUAGACCCCUCUUAUCCACC